GUGGGGAAUCUUGCGCAAUGGGCGAAAGCCUGACGCAGCCAUGCCGCGUGAAUGAUGAAGGUCUUAGGAUUGUAAAAUUCUUUCACCGGGGACGAUAAUGACGGUACCCGGAGAAGAAGCUCCGGCUAACUUCGUGCCAGCAGCCGCGGUAAUACGAAGGGGGCUAGCGUUGCUCGGAAUUACUGGGCGUAAAGGGCGCGUAGGCGGACAGCUUAGUCAGAGGUGAAAGCCCAGGGCUCAACCUUGGAAUUGCCUUUGAUACUGGCUGUCUUGAGUUUGGGAGAGGUGAGUGGAACUCCGAGUGUAGAGGUGAAAUUCGUAGAUAUUCGGAAGAACACCAGUGGCGAAGGCGACUCACUGGCGCAAUACUGACGCUGAGGCGCGAAAGCGUGGGGAGCAAACAGGAUUAGAUACCCUAGUAGUCC
rnacentral:rRNA from 1 species